rnacentral:rRNA from 1 species
UCCUGCCAGUAGUCAUAUGCUUGUCUCAAAGAUUAAGCCAUGCAUGUCUAAGUACACGCCUACCCAGGGCAAAACCGCAAAUGGCUCAUUAAACCAGUCCUAAUCUACUGGGCAUAAAACCAGGUUACUUGGAUAACCGUGGUAAUUCUAGAGCUAAUACAUGCAAUUAAGCCGCUUAACCGCCGAGUCUCCGUUCCUUCGGGAACAGACUCGGAGGAAAGGGCGCUUUUAUUAGCUCUAUAAACCCAGUAGUACGUACUUAACGUACGUAGGCUCGUAAGUGACGAGGCUGAAUAACCAUAGCCGAGCGCUGAGGUCUUUGCACCGGCGCCAGUCCUUUCGAGGGUCUGCCUUAUCAGCUGUUGAUUGUAGGUUAUUCGCCUACAAUGGCUGUAACGGGUAACGGGGAAUCAGGGUUCGAUUCCGGAGAGGGAGCCUGAGAAACGGCUACCACAUCUAAGGAAGGCAGCAGGCACGCAAAUUACCCACUCCCGGCACGGGGAGGUAGUGACGAAAAAUAACGAUGUGGGACUCAACCGAGGCCUCAUAAUCGGAAUGAGCUUACUAUAAAUCCGUGGACAAGGAUCCAUUGGAGGGCAAGUCUGGUGCCAGCAGCCGCGGUAAUUCCAGCUCCAAUAGCGUAUAUUAAAGUUGCUGCGGUUAAAAAGCUCGUAGUUGAACUUGCCCAACCCGCGAGCGACGUAUCCGCGCGUCGCUUCGGCGGUAACGGAGUGCGCCGUCACUCGAGUCACGUCGUCGCCCGAUCAAACCUUCCUUUCGCCACUCUCGCUUUUUCUCUUCCCCUACCUACGGUUAGCCGCGUCUCCUCCGGGAGCCGGCGUUCCGAGGGGUUGAAAAUCGCCCGAGUCGAUUGGAGGGCGGGCGCACACGUGCUCGUAGCGUUCCUCCGUCCGUCCGUCGCGAAUGCCGGAGUCUUAGUCGCUCGUGGGCCGAUCCAAGUUCGUCGGUUCUCACGGGGUGCUCUUUGCCGAGUGCCCUGCGCGGCCGACAAAAUCGCUUUGAUAAAAUUAGAGUGCUUAAAGCAGGCUCUAAAGUGCAUGCCCGAAUGUUCGCGCAUAGUACGAUGAAAUAUGAUACCGGUUUCGCCUCACAUGGUUUAUAAUUCGAAACCGGUAUAAUGAUUAACGGAAACGGUCGGGGGCAUUAGUAAUGCGACGUAAGAGGUGAAAUUCUUGGACCGUCGCAAGACUAACAACUGCGCAGGCAUUUGCCCAGUACGUUUUCGUUAAUCAAGAACGAAAGUUAGAGGAUCGAAGGCGAUCAGAUACCGCCCUAGUUCUAACCCUAAACUAUGCUAACUGGCGAUCCGCUCGUGUCAAUCCCACGACCCAGCGGGCAGCCCCCGGGAAACCAAAGUCUUUGAGUUCCGGGGGAAGUAUGGUUGCAAAGCUGAAACUUAAAGGAAUUGACGGAAGGGCACCACCAGGAGUGGAGCCUGCGGCUUAAUUUGACUCAACACGGGAAACCUCACCAGGCCAGGACACCGUUAGGAUUGACAGAUUAAGAGCUCUUUCUCGAUUCGGUGGAUGGUGGUGCAUGGCCGUUCUUAGUUGGUGGAGCGAUUUGUCUGGUUCAUUCCGGUAACGAACGAGAUUCGCUCCUAUUAACUAGUCGGCGGAUCGACUCCCGAGACGGGCCCCCGCUUCGGUUUAAAAGUUCGCGUUAGCCUUCCGUCUCUCUUAGUCGGUCGUCCCCGGUCGCCGUACCGUCCUCGCGGACGGGAAAGCGGUCGGAUCAGGGCGGCCGGCGAAGGGGACGUCAAAACGGAGGCUGCGCGAGCUCCGAAGCGACGGGCCCAGCGAGGGGCGUCCGUCGUAAACCAAAACCGAAUCUUCUUAGAGGCAUUGGCCCCUUCUAGGGCGCACGAAAGCGAGCAAUAACAGGUCUGUGAUGCCCUUAGAUGUCCUGGGCCGCACGCGCGCUACAAUGCAGGGAUCAGCGCGCUAUCCCCCUCCGAAAGGAGCGGGUAACCGCUUGAAACCCCUACCCGAUUGGGAUUGGGGAUUGCAAAUAUUCCCCAUAAACGAGGAAUUCCCAGUAAGCGCGGGUCAUUAGCUCGCGU